ACGGGGUGCAGCAGGCGCGAAACCUCCGCAAUACACGAAAGUGUGACGGGGUUACCCAAAGUGUUCAAUAGAACUGUGGUAGGUGAGUAAUGUUCCCUACUAGAAAGGAGAGGGCAAGGCUGGUGCCAGCCGCCGCGGUAAAACCAGCUCUUCAAGUGGUCGGGAUAAUUAUUGGGCUUAAAGUGUCCGUAGCCGGUUUAGUAAGUUCCUGGUAAAAUCGGGUAGCUUAACUAUCUAUAUGCUAGGAAUACUACUAUACUAGAGGGCGGGAGAGGUCUGAGGUACUACAGGGGUAGGGGUGAAAUCUUAUAAUCCUUGUUGGACCACCAGUGGCGAAGGCGUCAGACUGGAACGCGCCUGACGGUGAGGGACGAAAGCCAGGGGAGCGAACCGGAUUAGAUACCCGGGUAGUCCUGGCCGUAAACGAUGCAUACUAGGUGAUGGCACGGCCAUGAGCCGUGUCAGUGCCGUAGGG
rnacentral:rRNA from 1 species